GCAACGGUACUGGCAGCUCUGGUAGUGGUAGUUUGGGAAGUCCUGGCAAAGGUACUGGCAACUCCGGUAUGGGCAAAGUUGGCAGCUGAGAUUUUGGAAGUUCUGGCAGUUUAGGAAGAUCGGGCAUAGGUAAUGUGGGCAAUCCAGGCUGUGGCAAUGUUGGUAGCUCGGGUUUUGGGAGGCCAAUGGGAAGAUCAGGCUUCGGCACAUCUGGCAAACUUACUUCCAAAAGACGGCGAGCCUCCGCUUGAAUUGCAUGGCUGCUGAUUGAUGAUAAGACAAAGAGGAAGAGAAGGUAAAGGGAGUGAUGAGCCAUAGUUAUAGCAGAUGAUUUAUACAGUUCCAAGU
rnacentral:lncRNA from 1 species